GUAGACACACCCAGCUCUCACAGUAUAUAACAAAAAUGUCAAAAUGUCUGUCCUACUAGGCGAGUUCUGAAAAAGGCACCUAAGCCAACCUGCUGUAGAGUACAUAUUCUAAAAGACUGGCUCAGCAUAUGAAUGUGUGUGAACAACUCCCAUUACAAUCCCCCCCUUUAAUAACCAACUGCUACAUUUUAUGUGUAAUUUGCUGUGUUAUACAGUUAUCUUUCUCUGUUUGCUAGGAGCUUAGUUGGUUUUAAACUGUGAUUUUUCAGGCUAAAGCUUUGUUUGAGUUAAGAAUUGCCUUUUCUUUCCACAGCAGAAGGAGAUCUAGUGUAGCUAAAUAGGCCUCCGUCCUCCAAUCUCUCUCCAUCCCCGGCCCCUCCCCCACCACAGAAGGAUCUCGUAUUGACUUUGAGAGAUCAACAAUAAGCUGGUUAUCGACAAACACCGAGAUCCCUGGCAUAGGGUAACUCAUGAGUGGAGAUGGGAUAGCAGGUGCUGUCUACUGGGAAGAGUGAAGAUCAAGGACCCCAAGGAUGGAAUGAUAAAGUAAAGAAACUCCUCUCCUUGCAUAACACUUAUCAAAACUUUAUUCAGUUUCCCAACAUCUUCUGAAAAGUGACAGCUACAUAGUCCAAAGUGAAGUGAAACAAUAUAUUAUAUGAGGAUGGAUAGCUGUCAGCAAUGGAGAACCUUCCCUCCAGAUGCCUUUUUCAAUCCAGGCCAUAUGUUAUCAGUAGUAAUUUCAUUGCUUGGAACCCAAUGGCUGUUUGACAGCUGCCAUGGAGUCCAUUUGGAGAUGCACAAUCUCAUUUGCCAGUAGUUCACCAUGGAUGCAGUGAUGGAGACCAAGUUGGUUGGCUUUGAAAAUGGAUUAGGCAAAUGCAUGGCGAGCAAGACCGCCAAUGGUACUAGUCUUGAUGGCUGUGUGCUACUUCAGGAUAGUAUGCCACAACAGCCGCCCAAAUAUUACUUGCUAAAAAUUGGAAAACACAAGAACUACCAACAGUGGAAGAUUGGCAGAUGAAGAUGAUGGACU